rnacentral:rRNA from 1 species
AUUGAACGCUGGCGGCAUGCUUUACACAUGCAAGUCGAACGGUAACAGGCCGCAAGGUGCUGACGAGUGGCGAACGGGUGAGUAAUGCAUCGGAACGUGCCCAGUCGUGGGGGAUAACGCCGCGAAAGCUGCGCUAAUACCGCAUAGCAUCUAUGGAUGAAAGCGGGGGACCGGAAGGCCUCGCGCGAUUGGAGCGGCUGAAGGCAGAUUAGGUAGUUGGUGGGGUAAAGGCUCACCAAGCCAACGAUCUGUAGCUGGUCUGAGAGGACGACCAGCCACACUGGGACUGAGACACGGCCCAGACUCCUACGGGAGGCAGCAGUGGGGAAUUUUGGACAAUGGGCGCAAGCCUGAUCCAGCAAUGCCGCGUGCAGGAAGAAGGCCUUCGGGUUGUAAACUGCUUUUGUACGGAACGAAACGGUCCUGGUUAAUACCUGGGGCUAAUGACGGUACCGUAAGAAUAAGCACCGGCUAACUACGUGCCAGCAGCCGCCGCAGUAA